UACGGAGGAUGCAAGCGUUAUCCGGAUUCAUUGGGUUUAAAGGGUGCGUAGGCGGACUAUUAAGUCAGUGGUGAAAGCCUGCAGCUUAACUGCAGAACUGCCAUUGAUACUGAUAGUCUUGAGUUUGGUUAAGGUAGGCGGAAUGUGUAAUGUAGCGGUGAAAUGAUUAGAUAUCACACAGAACACCAAUUGCGUAGGCAGCUUACUGAGCCGACACUGACGCUGAGGCACGAAAGCGUGGGGAUCGAACA
rnacentral:rRNA from 1 species